rnacentral:rRNA from 1 species
UCGAGAAUCAUUCACAAUGGGGGAAACCCUGAUGGUGCGACGCCGCGUGGGGGAAGAAGGUCUUCGGAUCGUAAACCCCUGUCAUGUGGGAGCAAGCAGCGAUGUAGAUAGUACCACAAGAGGAAGCCACGGCUAACUACGUGCCAGCAGCCGCGGUAAUACGUAGGUGGCAAGCGUUGUCCGGAAUGAUUGGGCGUAAAGGGCGCGUAGGCGGCCUGGUAAGUUUGGAGUGAAAGUCCUAUUUUUAAGGUGGGAAUUGCUUUGAAAACUGCUGGGCCUGAGUGCAGGAGAGGUUAGUGGAAUUCCCGGUGUAGCGGUGAAAUGCGUAGAGAUCGGGAGGAACACCAGUGGCGAAGGCGACUAACUGGACUGUAACUGACGCUGAGGCGCGAAAGUGUGGGGAGCAAACA